UUUUAGGAGGUAAGGCCUGCUCACUGAAACAAUAAAGAGCCGCAGUAUUUUGACUGUGCUAAGGUAGCAUMAUCAUUAGCCUUUUAAAUGGGGGCUGGUAUGAAUGGUUUAACGAGAAAUUAGCUUUUUUUGUAAAAUAGAUUUAAAUUAAAUUUUCAGUGAAAAGUCUGWAAUAAUUUAKAAAGACGAGACCACCCUGUAGAGUUUUAUAGUAUAGUUUUAUAUAUGAAAAAAUUGAUUUUAAAAAUUGUUUUUUUUAAUAUAUUUUGUUGGGGCGACGUUUAGAUAAAAAAAACUCUUUGUUUUAUAUUUUCUAACUAGAAUUUUAUUGAUCCUUUAAAAAGGAAUAUAGGAAUAAAUUACCUUAGGGAUAACAGCGUAAUCUUUUUUGAGAGUUCUAAUCGACGAAAAGGUUUGCGACCUCGAUGUUGGAUUAAAAUAAAGGUAAGGUGCAGCCGCUUUGAUA
rnacentral:rRNA from 1 species